rnacentral:rRNA from 1 species
UACGGUAGGGGGCAAGCGUUGUCCGGAUUUAUUGGGCGUAAAGAGCGUGUAGGCGGUCAGGUAGGUCCGUUGUGAAAACUCGAGGCUCAACCUCGAGACGCCGAUGGAAACCAUCUGACUAGAGUCCGGAAGAGGAGAGUGGAAUUCCUGGUGUAGCGGUGAAAUGCGCAGAUAUCAGGAAGAACACCCGUGGCUAAGGCGGCUCUCUAGUACGGUACUGACGCUGAGACGCGAAAGCGUGGGGAGCGAACAGG